CUAUAUAAUUUAUUCUCAACUUUUUCUAACAUUAUUGAUAGGCAUUUGCUCGUUUGAGUGCCAUCUAUGGUGGAACUUACAUGCUCAACAAGCCAAAAUACAAGGGCUAAAGGCAGCACCAAGUGAGUGAUUCUUUCAACUGGAGAG